rnacentral:rRNA from 1 species
UGGGGAUGACGUCAAAUCAUCAUGCCCCUUAUGACCUGGGCUACACACGUGCUACAAUGGGCGGUACAAAGGGUCGCGAACCCGCGAGGGGGAGCCAACCCCAAAAAGCCGCUCUCAGUUCGGAUUGCAGGCUGCAACUCGCCUGCAUGAAGCCGGAAUCGCUAGUAAUCGCGGAUCAGCAUGCCCGCGGUCCGAAUACGUUCCGGGCCUU